CUGAGAGACGCCCCACCUUUGUCUGUUAAGCUGCGACACCGCUCAAGGGUCUAGGACGGGUGGCGUAGAGUCUAAGCCUACUGUCCUUAAAUGCAUGUUAAAGAACUUUAAGAAGGGUUUCACGGGAGAUUACGGCGUCACACUGGGUCCCAGCGGACUUAGGGCCCUCUGUGAACACGAAUGGCCCACAUUCGGGGUCGACUGGCCUGCGACAGGAACCUUAGACCUCCCCACCGUGAGAGCAGUUUGGAGAGUCGUGACUGGGCCUCCCGGCCACCCCGACCAGUUCCCUCACAUAGACUCAUGGCUAGAGAUUGCUCAGACCCUGCCCCCUUGGGUCCCGUUCUGUGCUAAUAGGGGACAGAGCAGGGUUUUUGUGGCCCAAAGGACCAGAGGCUCCAAACUGUCCAAACCCAUCUAUCAAACCCAACAUGAACAAAGUCGCUCCGAUCACCCAGAAGCCAGAGGAAUCACCGAGAGAAUUCUACAAGCGCCUUUGUGAGGCCUACUGAGUCCACACACCCUUCGCUUGACCCAGAGGCAGCCGAAAAUCAGCGGAUGGUGAAUGCUGCAUUUGUUGGGCAGUCCUAUGCUGACAUGCGAUGGAAACUCCAGAAACUUGAUGAAUUUACAGAAAUAAACAUCACGCAGCUGAUCAAAGUGGCCCAGAAGGUCUAUGUUAAUGGAGACUCGACCACCCACAGGGGAAAUGACAAGAAAAUAAAACACAAAACAGCUCUCCUGGCCGCUAUCCUUGGAAGACCUGACCCAGCCAGGAGACCUAGCCCACCACGGGAAGGAGGACCCAGGAGACGAGGGACCCUGAAGCCUGACCAGUUCGCCUAUUGUAAAAAAUUUAGUCACUGGAAACAUAAAUGCCCCAACAAAAGAAACCACCCACUGCCAAACAGGAACCUGCCCAGGGGCUUCUAGCAGGAGCCGGAGACCCAGGACCUCAUGGGUCUCACUGGGGUUGACUCAGAAUAGGACCGACCGGGUUCCCUGACUCUUGGCCCCCAGGAGCCUAUGGUCAUAAUGGAAGGGGGGGGCAACCAAUCACGUUCAUGGUGGACUCUAGGGCAGAACAUUCGGUGGUAACAACCCCCAUGGCUACACUUACAAAGUGGGAAACCACCACUGUGGGAGCCACUGGAACUCUGAGUAGCUCGACCCUUCUGCCAAUCCCGAAUAUGCCAGAUGGGGGGCCACCAGAUAAGACAUGAAUUCCUGCACAUACCAGACUGCCCCGUGCCCCUCCUAAGUCGGGAUCUCCUGGGCAAACUGGAAGCCCAGAUCACCUUUCACCUGGAAGGAACCAUGAGCCUUACGCUCAACACUCCAGAGACUCUCAUAAUGGCAGUCACCCUGCCCCGCGAAUUGGAAUGGAAACUAUACGAUAAACCCAAAGAAAAACAAAACCCGCUUGACUUCCGGUAGGAUUUUCCCUCGAGGACAAUGCCCCCCACCCCGGGUCUUGCUCACCAACAUGCACCCCUGGUGAUCAAGAUGAACUACAGGCCAAGCUAUUUCAGACUUACAGCUAUAGCUGAGAUCAAGAAGGAAAUCCCAAUUGUGGUGUGAUGGCUUUACCCACACGAAGCAGAGGGCAAUGACAACCCGGGUUGCAUCUAGCAAAGUGGUAACGAGGAUGACAAAUGGCCUAAAACUAGGUAUUAAUUUAACACAGAUGAAGGAAACUGAAACCCUUGGGGGCAAUGAGGGCUGUUUUCAAAUAUAUGAACUAAAAAAUAGACUAGUUCCAGGGGCAGUACUCUAAUGCAAUGGUAGAAAUUUUAAGAAGGCAAAAUUUAACUUCAGUAUGUUGGGAUGAUUUUUGUAACACUAACAGCCUACAAAAACAGAACUUAAUCUCUGAUGCUGUAAGCUCCUCACCAAUGAAGGUGCUCAAAGGUGAGAAAACCAGGUGUCGGGGAUGCUGAGGAAAGGAUUUCUGCAAAAAAGGUGUUAGGAAGCAGAGCUCAAUGACCUCAGGGUUGCCUGUAUUGCAGAGAACCUUUAAAAUUGUCUUUAUUUUUUAGGAGGUCCUUUUUCCUUUUUUAACAAGAUUUGCGUCGUCACUGAUGCACUAUUUUACUCACACAUGGUGAAUCUGUACUUUUUUGUCUAUAGAAAUAAACUAUUAUGCAACGUUAUAUGUUUUUGUUCUGAUGUCUAAAGUAUAAGGAGAUAACACUAUGAAAUAUUAUAAAGGGUAAAAACUUGUUUGCUCACCUUUGCCGACGAAACAAUUUGCUUGGCCUGGCGUCUUGACAGAUGAUCGAUUGUCCCUAUCAGCACUUCAGGAUCUGCAUUAGCUAAGUGCGUUAAACUUCUGUAACCUGCGUUGUAUAACUGUCUUGCUCGGCCCUGGAAAGUGUUAACAGAAACCAGUAGGAUCAGAAUUUGGGAUUAGAAAAGAAAAAUUAACCAUUUUACUGAUGGGGGAAAUACUUCACAGGUAAGAGAUAGGAAUGAACUAAGAUAAUAAAUAUGAAGAGACAGCACAUCAGAAUCCUGACAAAUUUCUAAAGAUGCGCUUGGGUGGUUCCAAACCGGCUGCAAGACAGCUUUCCAUGCAACUUAAGUCAGCCGACGUGCGCUGCAGUCAGGAAUGAGAAACCCACUGAGGCACUGAGAACACCAGGAAAGGAAUGCAUAGUUUUUCUUUCCCAAGUGACUAAAAACAAUUCCGACCUCUGGGAAUUUAUCCUGAAGACAAAAUACUGAAUAUGGAAAGAUUCAAAUGCAAGAUGAUGCUCGAUGCAGCAUUAAAACAAUAAAAAUACUGGAAGCCACUAGUUAAUAAUUGUUAAAGCUCGGUCCCUUUCAAGUCUUUGGGUAUCAAUUGGGAGUACAUGAUAUGUGGGACAGCCUCAGCUAGGCAUCUUGUGACCACAGAGAAAGUGGUCAAUGCAACAAACACGGCAGUAGAAAGAAGAAGAGAAAACCCUGAACAGAACUACUGAAGGAAUCACCGUGGAGCUGCCUUAGUUCUGAGACACUAAAAACACUACGUUGCCCAG